GUUAUAGGAUCAAGUGACUAAGUGCACAUGGUGGAUGCCUUGGCGAUCACAGGCGAAGAAGGACGUAAUAGCUUGCGAAAAGCUGCGGGGAGUUGGCAAAUGAGCAUUGAUCCGCAGAUAUCCGAAUGGGGAAACCCACCUCUUAGGAGGUAUCCUUAUCUGAAUACAUAGGGUGAGGAGGCGAACCGAGUGAACUGAAACAUCUAAGUAACUCGAGGAAAAGAAAUCAACCGAGAUUCUGAAAGUAGUGGCGAGCGAAAUUGGAGUAGCCGCAACGAGAUAGUAGUUGUAGUAGUCGAACGCAUUGGGAAGUGCGACCGUAGGGGGUGAUAGUCCUGUAGACGAAACUAUGAUUAUGGUACUAGGCGUUGCAACAAGUAGGGCGGGACACGUGUAAUCCUGUUCGAAUAUGGGGGGACCAUCCUCCAAGGCUAAAUACUCGUGAUCGACCGAUAGUGAACCAGUACCGUGAGGGAAAGGCGAAAAGAACCCCGGGAGGGGAGUGAAAUAGAACCUGAAACCGUGUGCAUACAAACAGUCGGAGCCGAGAGGUGACGGCGUACCUUUUGUAUAAUGGGUCAGCGACUUACAUUCAGUGGCAAGCUUAACCGAGUAGGGAAGGCGAAGCGAAAGCGAGUCCGAAUAGGGCGAAUAUAGUCGCUGGGUGUAGACCCGAAACCAGAUGAUCUAUCCAUGGUCAGGUUGAAGGUGCCGUAACAGGUACUGGAGGACCCAACCCACUAAUGUUGAAAAAUUAGGGGAUGAGCUGUGGAUAGGGGUGAAAGGCUAAACAAAUCUGGAAAUAGCUGGUUCUCUCCGAAAACUAUUUAGGUAGUGCCUCAUGAAUAACUGUUGGGGGUAGAGCACUGUUAUGGCUAGGGGGUCAUGGCGACUUACCAAACCAUGGCAAACUCCGAAUACUGACAAGUUUAAUCAUGGGAGACAGAGCACUGGGUGCUAACGUCCAGACUCAAGAGGGAAACAACCCAGACCGCCAGCUAAGGUCCCUAAAAUUGGCUAAGUGGGAAACGAAGUGGGAAGGCAUAGACAGUCAGGAGGUUGGCUUAGAAGCAGCCACCCUUUAAAGAAAGCGUAAUAGCUCACUGAUCGAGUCGUCCUGCGCGGAAGAUGUAACGGGGCUAAGCCAGUUACCGAAGCUGCGGAUGCAUCCGCUCUUUUAAUUUGUUUAUGUAGAGUUAAGAAGAAGUAGAAAAAGAAGUAAGUGGAUAGACGAAUUAAGAGAGCGGAUGUGUGGUAGGAGAGCGUUCUGUAAGCCUGAGAAGGUGAAUCGAGAGGUUUGCUGGAGGUAUCAGAAGUGCGAAUGCUGACAUGAGUAGCGAUAAAGGGAGUGAAAGGCUCCCUCGCCGUAAGUCCAAGGAUUCCUGCGCAACGUUCAUCGGCGCAGGGUUAGUCGGCCCCUAAGGUGAGGCAGAGAUGCGUAGCUGAUGGGAAGUGGGUUAAUAUUCCUACACCGAUAUGUGAAGUGAAGGGGGGACGGAUUGCGAAAUGUGAACGAGCUGAUGGAAGUGCUCGGUAUUGUAGCUAAGAAGUUGAUUAGGCAAAUCCGGUCAAAGGAUUCAAGGCUAUGAUUCGAAGAAGACGUAAUGUUUUUGAAGUCACAGGAAGUGGUUCCAAGAAAAGCCUCUAAGCGAUAAUUUACAUAUUGACCGUACCGCAAACCGACACAGGUGGACGGGAUGAAUAUUCCAAGGCGCUUGAGAGAACUCAGGAGAAGGAACUCGGCAAAUUGAUACCGUAACUUCGGGAGAAGGUAUGCCUUUGUAUGGUGAAUAGCCAGAAGAGGCCGCAGAGAAUAGGUGGCUGCGACUGUUUAUUAAAAACAUAGCACUCUGCAAACACGAAAGUGGAAGUAUAGGGUGUGACGCCUGCCCGGUGCUGGAAGGUUAAUUGAUGUGGUGCAAGCUAUUGAUCGAAGCCCCAGUAAACGGCGGCCGUAACUAUAACGGUCCUAAGGUAGCGAAAUUCCUUGUCGGGUAAGUUCCGACCUGCACGAAUGGCGUAACGAUGGCCACACUGUCUCCUCCUGAGACUCAGCGAAGUUGAAGUGUUUGUGAUGAUGCAAUCUCCCCGCGGCUAGACGGAAAGACCCCAUGAACCUUUACUGUAGCUUUACAUUGGAUCGUGAACCGGCCUGUGUAGGAUAGGUGGGAGGCGAAGAAGGUGGGACGCUAGUUCUACUGGAGCCGACCUUGAAAUACCACCCUGGUUUGUUUGUGGUUCUAACCUUGGCCCAUGAUCUGGGUUGGGGACAGUGUAUGGUGGGCAGUUUGACUGGGGCGGUCUCCUCCCAAAGUGUAACGGAGGAGUUCGAAGGUACGCUAGGUACGGUCGGAAAUCGUGCUGAUAGUGCAUUGGCAAAAGCGUGCUUGACUGUGAGACAGACAAGUCGAACAGGUGCGAAAGCAGGACAAAGUGAUCCGGUGGUUCUGAAUGGAAGGGCCAUCGCUCAACGGAUAAAAGGUACUCUGGGGAUAACAGGCUGAUACCGCCCAAGAGUUCAUAUCGACGGCGGUGUUUGGCACCUCGAUGUCGGCUCAUCUCAUCCUGGGGCUGUAGCCGGUCCCAAGGGUAUGGCUGUUCGCCAUUUAAAGAGGUACGUGAGCUGGGUUUAAAACGUCGUGAGACAGUUUGGUCCCUAUCUGCCGUGGGCGUUGGAUACUUGACGGAGGCUGCUCCUAGUACGAGAGGACCGGAGUGGACGUACCGCUGGUGUAUCGGUUGUCAUGCCAAUGGCAUUGCCGAGUAGCUACGUACGGAAGAGAUAACCGCUGAAGGCAUCUAAGCGGGAAACUCGUCUGAAGAUAAGGUAUCCCUGAGCGUUAAGCUCCAAUAAGGGUCGUUCGAGACUAGAACGUUGAUAGGCUGGGUGUAUAAGUGCAGUAAUGCAUGUAGCUAACCAGUACUAAUUGCCCGUGAGGCUUGAUCCUAUAACUUUAUCAGUGUUAUA
rnacentral:rRNA from 1 species